rnacentral:rRNA from 1 species
AAAUCCGGUUGAUCCUGCCGGAGGCUACCGCUAUUGGAGUUCGAUUAAGCCAUGCGAGUCGCGAGUCCUAGGGACUCGGCGUACCGCUCAGUAACACGUGGGUAACCUGCCCUAUGCAGGGGGAUAACCUCGGGAAACUGAGAAUAAUACCCCAUAGUUCACUACGCCUGGAACGGUGAGUGGAUGAAAGCUCCGGCGGCAUAGGAUGGGCCUGCGGCGUAUCAGGUUGUAGGGGGUGUAACGUACCCUCUAGCCCUCUACGCGUACGGGUGUUGGGAGACAUAGCCCGGAGAUGGAUUCUGAGACACGAAUCCAGACCCUACGGGGUGCAGCAGGCGCGAAAACUUGACAAUGCGAGAAAUCGUGAUCAGGGAA